rnacentral:misc_RNA from 1 species
UGAAAUGCGAUAACUAGUGUGAAUUGCAUUACUUUGUGAAUCAUCGAGUCUUUGAACGCACAUUGCGCCUUUUGUUCCAACUUAAGGCAUGCCUGUUUGAGAAUCAUAAACACCCCUCCGCACAGUCGUGCGGGUCUUGGGCUCCAAGUCGUGUCAUCAGUUAGAUGGCUUAAGCGGCUUCAGCCUUAAAUGCAUACCUGAGUGACGCCGACUCUUUGUCGAUGCUCUAAGCGCAACAAGACCAGUUUGGCCAAAGUUCGCAAAGACGUUGACCAAGGGUUGGCUAUCACCAAGCUCAGGCUUGUUCGUCCUGCGCCAAGCAAUUGACGCGGACAAUUUGUAUUCUUUGAUCUCAAAUCAGGCAAGACUACCCGCUGAACUUAA